rnacentral:misc_RNA from 1 species
GAUGAAGAACGUAGCGAAAUGCGAUAAGUAAUGUGAAUUGCAGAAUUCAGUGAAUCAUCGAAUCUUUGAACGCACAUUGCGCCCGGCAGUAUUCUGGCGGGCAUGCCUGUUCGAGCGUCAUUUCAACCAUCAAGCCCCCGGCUUGUGUUGGGGACCUGCGGCUGCCGCAGGCCCUGAAAUGCAGUGGCGGGCUCGCUGUCACUCCGAGCGUAGUAGUUACAUCUCGCUCUGGGCGUGCUGCGGGUUCCGGCCGUUAAAAGCCUUAUUUACCCAAGGUUGACCUCGGAUCAGGUAGGAAGACCCGCUGAACUUAAGCAUAUCAAUAAGCGGAGGA